GUCUUGUUUUUGUUUUGCUUUGCUUUGUAAAUGAACUGGCUUUCUGAUCACUGGGACUUCCAUCCUCAGUGGGACACAAGAUCACCUGAUCCAGAAGCUCCCAGUUCCCUCAAGUGGCCAAAGCAGGUAGGGAGUGGCAACGGCAGACCACACGGCAGGGGGGGACCCCAGGCCAGUGACCAGCUUCUGCCCCAGCCAGGUUUUGGAGCUGGAGGAGCAGCCCUGCCUUGGGAGGAGCUGCCCCGUACCCUGCCAAGUCUACACAGUGACUCACAGGUAUUACUGUACCAGGAAAGGGUGGAGAGCAGCACCCAGAACUGUGGGCAGUGAGCGGACAGUGACCCCACAUGAUGCGGAAACCUAGGCUCCACUCCAGGGCCUCAGGUGGUCCAGGGACCACCCUGGUCUCUGAAUGUACAAAUGAAAUGGGAUAUGGAUUAAAGUCAGAUCCAGACUCUGGUCUCCUGGAAGCUGGAGGUCAUCACAGGCUCACGCUGCGUCCUCGGGUGUGGGCAAAGGCCAGAACCGUUGGACGAACACACCAGUUGUCCCCACAGGCCCCUGGGCCAGAUGCCAGUUACAGACAUCCCAGGGAAGAAUAGCCAGACCGAGUUCCACCAUGAGAGUCCUACAGGAAGCGGAGAGCUGAUCCUUGGAGCUGCCCUUAUGUGUCAGUCUGGCCCGAAAAGAGCAGGUGGAUCCUGGGAGACGUCACAGCGCAGCGCCAGGGGCAGCUGUGUGCCAGGCACAGUGCAGCCCUCGCCGCACACAGCCACUGACCUGCAGGAGUAGUGACACUCGCCUUUCUUCCUCUCAUCCAGACGGCCCUCACCUUGGUCAGCAUCUGGGACACAGACGCAGAUAUCCCGGAGGAUCUGCUAGCAGACUGCAUGUGAGUACGAGAGAAGUUUCCAGUCUGAGCACCUGGAGGAUGCAGUCUCCAUUUACUUUACAGAGAUGCUAGGUGUGGAACAGGAGCGUGUUCUGGGACAGGACUGUGAUCUGGAUGAAGUGAGGUGACUCAGGCCAAGCUGUUCAGCAUCUCCAGGUGCGGCUGCCUGACUGUAGCAUGGAGACAGUAACAUGACCUGUUACAGACUGUCGGGGGCAUUACGUGAGCCAAUACUUGAAAAUGCUGAGAAUAACCAGCACAGCAAGCAACUAAAACAGGCAGGGUCUUGCUGUGUAGUUCAGGCUGGUCUUGAACUUGCUAUGUAGCCCACCCUGGCUUCAAACUCGUGAUCCUCCUGCCUCAGCGUCCUGAGUGCUGAUAACAGGGUGACCCCUCCACACCGUCCCAAGUGACCUGGCUUUCACCUGUUUCUGGGAGCCCUGAGGUUCUUAUGAGGAGCAGCGCCCGCACAGCAGAGCGGAAGCCUGACAGCCAGCAGCACAGCAGAUGAGGUGAGAAGACAGCGUGCUGUCAACUCAGAAUCUAUAAGGCUGCAGGACACAGGGUUGUGGUCGGCGACCGGCCAGCCGGGCUGCAGCAUCUGGGCCAGGUAGUCGCCGGCAGCCCAGCCCCCACCACGUCAUGAGCCGAGGUGAACAGAUGGGGCCUGGAUCAGUGAGAUGCAGGUCCAUGCUCACCUGGGAAGGGCAGAGAGAGGAACCUGGGACCAGACCCCAACACAAAUCCACAGCCGCAGGGACCUGAAGUGGGAGAGUCUCGCAGACAGGAAGCGGGGCCGUCACUCACUGCAAAGUGAUGACAAGGACCCGGAGGACCUGCAGAGGCCACAGGAAGCGCUCUUGGACUGGGGUGCUCUCCUGUGGUGACGAGGCUCCGUGGCACCCCGACAGCAGGCCCACCUUCACCACUGGCCUCUUGAGCUUCCACUUCGUGUGCUGCAAGCACACAGGGCUCAGACAUGCUGGCCCUCCGCAUGUGUGCAUGAGAUUCUGAUGCCUGCCGGGCGGCUGCGGGCCGGCCUAAAACCCAGCUCACCUGAUUGCUGACUUUUCUGCAGCACGUGGCUCCCAUCCGUGUCAGCAGGCACUGCAAAAGUUACAUCCGAAGUCCUAUGCAAUAUCUCAACACUGGUUUGGCUCACCUUGAAAACCCUAAGUUAAACCAAGUUUGUCCUCACAUUAAAAUGCACGUGAUACAAAUGCUUCCUUUCUGGUCAUUCAACUCUGCAAUAGCAUUAAGGGUCCAACCAAAAGUAAAGAGUGAACUGAAGAUAAUUUGCAAGCACAAGAUAGCGUGCUCCCCGUUUCUUGGUGAGAUUGGCCCACUGUGUGUAACCUACUUCCUUCCUAGGAGCCCAGCAUCUACACAGACACACC
ensembl:lncRNA